ACUCCUACGGGAGGCAGCAGUGAGGAAUAUUGGUCAAUGGAGGCAACUCUGAACCAGCCAUGCCGCGUGCAGGAAGACUGCCCUAUGGGUUGUAAACUGCUUUUAUACAGGAAGAAACAGUCGUACGAGUACGACCUUGACGGUACUGUAAGAAUAAGCACCGGCUAACUCCGUGCCAGCAGCCGCGGUAAUACGGAGGGGUGCAAGCGUUAUCCGGAAUCAUUGGGUUUAAAGGGUCCGCAGGCGGUCAAUUAAGUCAGAGGUGAAAUCCCAUAGCUUAACUAUGGAACUGCCUUUGAUACUGGUUGACUUGAGUUAUACGGAAGUAGAUAGAAUAUGUAGUGUAGCGGUGAAAUGCAUAGAUAUUACAUAGAAUACCGAUUGCGAAGGCAGUCUACUACGUAUAUACUGACGCUCAUGGACGAAAGCGUGGGGAGCGAACAGGAUUAGAUACCCUGGUAGGAUAGCG
rnacentral:rRNA from 1 species